rnacentral:rRNA from 1 species
GAUGAACGCUGGCGGCGUGCUUAACACAUGCAAGUCGAACGGGAUCGGCUGGAGCUUGCUCCGGCCGUGAGAGUGGCGAACGGGUGAGUAAUGCGUGACCGACCUGCCCCAUACACCGGAAUAGCUCCUGGAAACGGGUGGUAAUGCCGGAUGCUCCAGUUGACCGCAUGGUCCUCUGGGAAAGCUUUUGCGGUAUGGGAUGGGGUCGCGUCCUAUCAGGUAGUCGGCGGGGUAACGGCCCACCGAGCCUACGACGGGUAGCCGGCCUGAGAGGGCGACCGGCCACAUUGGGACUGAGAUACGGCCCAGACUCCUACGGGAGGCAGCAGUGGGGAAUAUUGCACAAUGGGCGCAAGCCUGAUGCAGCGACGCCGCGUGCGGGAUGACGGCCUUCGGGUUGUAAACCGCUUUUGACUGGGAGCAAGCCCUUCGGGGUGAGUGUACCUUUCGAAUAAGCACCGGCUAACUA